CUCCGAUCGCUCUCCUGGAUAAUCCUCAAAUCUGUUCCUGUUCCGGGGCGACCCACAAUGCGCAAAAGAUUCCGUCUUUUCCCCUCUGUCGCUCCCAAUCCUGCUCCCCUUCUUGUUUCCCAGUCCAAAAUCCGAACUUGGUAUGUUUUGUUUGGCGGAAAGGUGAUGCCUUUGAUGCGAUUCUGCGGGUUUUUUUCAUCCGGCAAAGGUGAUGGGUUUUUGUUGUUAUUUCCUCGAAGCCCCUAAAGAUCUUUUCUUGGACGGAUUGUUUCUACUGGGUUUGGGAAUUUGGUCCCAACUUCGUGGUUCCUAGGUUUUACAUCUCCAAGAUUGUCUCAAUUCUUGGAAUCCUUUCUUUCUGAAGAUGAAAGGCGAGGAUGGCAUGCUGAUAUAUGUUCUGUGCUGUUCGUCUGGAUAAAAAGAUUUCCGUGUCACGACAUUGGAAUGCUACGGGAGUAAUGAAGUUCAAAGAAGGUGAUUGGGUGGAGGUCUUUAGAAGAAAUGAGGAGCCAUAUGGCUCCUGGUUCCCUUCAAAAGUUCUAUCGGUUGAUGUUGAUAAGUGUGCUGUAAGAUGUGAGCUAUCUGCAACUCCAGAUGGAAGGCCCAUAAUAGAAAAGGUGCAUGAAAGAGAUGUCAGGCCUUGCCCUCCCCAUGCUCCUGGCACGGAGCAUUGGAUGGUUGGCGACAUUGUUGAGGUGUUUGAUGGACAUUCUUGGAGGGUGGGAAAGAUUGCUAAGGUCCUCAGUGAUGAUUAUGUUGUGACCAAAAUCUUUGGUUCGAUCCAGCUUAAAGAGUUCCAUGUAUCUAAUCUGAGGUCUCGACGAGCUUGGCAGAACAACCACUGGGUUAUGAUCAACAAGAGAACUCUGCAGGGGCAUCUCAAACCCCAGCAUGUCUCAAUUCAUGAUGAUGAGAUAAGAGGCACCGGCAAGAAAAGGAAGGCUAGUUCAAAAAAUGAAGUUUAUAACCUGCUUGACAGAAGAACACUGCAACGAAAAUUAGAUGGUGUUACAUUCUCAAAAUCUACAGUUCGUGAAAAUGCUACACUCCUUAAAUCUGCUAGAGACAGAAUAAAUAUGUAUACUCAGAUAGAAGCUGAUAAGGUGUCAUCAGAUGCGCAUUUCAGAAAUUCAUCUGCAGUACCUACAAAGGUUACUGAAGAGAUUGCUGAAUGCUCUGUUGCUAGUUGUAGUGGUAAUGAUAUAAUAGAAACCGCUAAUCAAAAUAGUAGAAGACAUACCAAGGAUAUUGCCAGAAAUACUUUUGAUCAUGUCAUGUCUUUGUGCCCACAUGAAGGUGGGCGAGAGAGCCAAAGGAUUUCUGGAGACAAGUUAGCUGCCAGUAUUCACGAAUUAGAGCUACAUGCAUAUCAAUCUACCAUGCAAGCGUUAUAUGCAUCCGGUCCUUUGAGUUGGGAACAGGAGUCACUUCUAACAAAUCUUCGUCUCUCACUAAAUAUUUCUAACGAAGAGCAUUUACUUCACUUGAGGCAGCUAUUAUCUACUGAAGUUCUUUGAGCCCUAACUACUUACCGUCAUACUGCUACAAGGUUGAACAAUGUUAGACGCAGAGUUUCUAUGAUCUUUGUCGCCAAGGUUGAACUGCUCUGAGGGAGUCAUGAUUAGGAAAUGGUACAGAUUGUUCUAUGACUUGCCAUGCCGGUGUUAUUCAUUUUAAUAUAUGACACUGACUGACAUCAAUUUUACAAAGCUUCAAAACACAUCAGAUUUGACAGUGUGUUUAGGAGAAAAAAGAAGGGAACUAUUUCAUUUCUGCCACAUAGAAAAAGAGGAGAGGAGAAGAAGAAGAAAAGAGAGGCUUAUUCUGGAUCAUCUUUUUGCAUGCACACAACAAAGGAAGAGCAAAAAGAAGAAGCUCAUUCUGGAAUAUUGUUAUGUGAAGGCUUAGAUUAUCUGAUUGGACAAUGAGUUUUAGGUCUCUCUCUGUGAUGGACACUGAUACAUCUCUUUGAUUCACUCCAAUAUAAAACAGCUUAAUAAAUCUUAUUAUUUUGCCUGAGA